rnacentral:misc_RNA from 1 species
UACGUGGGUGGCAGGCGUUGCCCGGAAUUAUUGGGCGUAAGGCGCGGGCAGGCGGCCUCUUAAGUCUAAUGUGAAAGCCCCGGGCUCAACCGGGGAGGGCCAUUGGAAACUGGGAGGCUUGAGUAUAGGAGAGAAGAGUGGAAUUCCACGUGUAGCGGUGAAAUGCGUAGAGAUGUAGAGGAACACCAGUGGCGAAGGCGACUCUUUGGCCUAUAACUGACGCUGAGGCGCGAAAGCGUGGGGAGCAAACAGG